AACGAACGCUGGCGGCAUGCCUAACACAUGCAAGUCGAACGAGACCUUCGGGUCUAGUGGCGCACGGGUGCGUAACGCGUGGGAACCUGCCCUUAGGUUCGGAAUCACUCCCCGAAAGGGGUGCUAAUACCGGAUAAUGUCUUCGGACCAAAGAUUUAUCGCCUUUGGAUGGGCCCGCGUUGGAUUAGCUAGUUGGUAGGGUAAAAGCCUACCAAGGCGACGAUCCAUAGCUGGUCUGAGAGGAUGAUCAGCCACACUGGGACUGAGACACGGCCCAGACUCCUACGGGAGGCAGCAGUGGGGAAUAUUGGACAAUGGGCGAAAGCCUGAUCCAGCAAUGCGGCGUGAGUGAUGAAGGCCUUAGGGUUGUAAAGCUCUUUUACCCGGGAUGAUAAUGACAGUACCGGGAGAAUAAGCUCCGGCUAACUCCGUG
rnacentral:rRNA from 1 species